UUACAAAAUUGGUAACACUAGUGCGCUUGUUAUUGAUUGAUUACAUUCUGUUGUUGGUCAAUUCAAUCAAUAAAACAUCCCCUGUCCAUUAUUAAGUGAAGUAACUACGGGCGAGGUGCGCGCGUGCCCCGCGAAUUAAUACAAAAUAUAUCACAUUUACAUAAAAUUGUUAAGUAGUGGUUGCAGUUUUGUUAUUGAGGUGCCAGCAAAGACCAGACAGAAUUGCAAUUGGCAAAUAUUCCAUCUGGGAAAUAGGAUACGGAGGCAGUUGAAGAUACAGCUAUGGCUUGACCAGGACCAGAUCAGGAAAAACCGCCAGGACCGGAGGAAGUACCAGGACCGAAAUGGCCGUUGGUUCCACAAGGUUUACCACCUUCGUGCUCAUCAGUGUCACGACAGUAUUCACUAAGGCCUGAACCUUCACCAUCUCCAUUGCAGCAGCCCCUAUCAUAGUGGCAGCAAAUAAGGCAGCUUCCAACUUCACAAGCACAUAGACGCCCACCAGCCAUUACAACCAUCUAGGAAUUUGAAGUUCCCAACACCAGCAUAACUCCAUCAGUUUAGCAGCACUAGAACAAUUAGGCAAACCUUGCGCCGAAGCAUACACUCAAAAUGUUACCUAAAGAUGAGUACACACAAGAUUCGCGGCCACCGCCGCCGCCGCCGCCGCCGCCUCCACCUCCGCCUGAGCCUGCCCCGCCGCCGGCGCCACCGCCUGCGGCCAACCUGCCGCUAGUAGGUGAGGCCGACCUGCCGCUAGCACGUGAGGCCAACCUGCCACCAGAACCUGCGGCCAUCCUGCCGCCGG